GGGGGCCGAAAAACCACCCCAGUGGUCAGCAGACUAUGCACGUAGAAGUACGAGGGUACGGUCACCGGACCGGGGUUCAAUUCCCCGCGGCUCCACCA
rnacentral:tmRNA from 1 species